UACCUAUUUAUUGAUUAAUAGGGUUUCAGGUCAAACUCAAAGUUUCAAAUGAUCAAAACGCUCUAUAUACCAGUCAAUGCGUGGGAUGGCACCAAAAUAAGUGCUUUUCUGUCAUAUUUGAGUGACGUCAUGAGUCAUAAGCGGUAUUUUCCCUUCAGAAUCGCUAUACUGGCUAGGCCCUAUAGUACCAAUUUUAAAACUGAAUGAAAUCCGCACGUUAUUGUCAGCUAAGAUUUAUUAAAAUCAUAAUUAUAUAUUAUAGAUCUAAUUUCAAAUAUUAUACUUAACUAAUAGAAUCAAUUAAGCUUUUACUAUCUAAUAUGUGAAUUUAGGGUAGUUACAUUAUGUUUCUAUUUCAGUGUUCAUCAAUAGUGGUUUUGAUUUUUCACUUGGAUUGGUGGAAGAAGGUACCAUACAAUACUAUACUACUGUACUGUGUUAGAUUGUUCAGCGUAAAUUGGUUUCAAAGACCUUUCCAGUACGCCACGGUAUUCAGUAUAAUCUAAGGAAAUUAAAACAGAAGAAAAGUAUAGAAAAUAUUUCCAAUUAUCUAUCUUGAGAUCACAGAGAUUGAAUGCUGCAGGUCUUGUGUUUAGUGUAUAGACUAAUUGGUGGAUGUUAUUAACAUUAACCUUUUAGCAAAGGUUAGCUUGAUGAUGUUACUGACUUUGCAGUGUAGUGGAAGAUGUUAACCUAACUUUGGUAGACAACAAGCCUAACCCUGAAGUCAACGAUGUACAAUAUGUCAGUGUCACGGUUCCACUACCAAACGUAACGCGAAUAUAAACAAUACUUACGGGUACAUGUAUUUACUUUGAUUGAAAUGAGGUCAACUUAAAAAUUUGUGUAGAUGUGUUAUUUGUUGUAACAGUUAUAUCCAUAAAAGUUAUAUCCAUAAAAUGUAAA